UACGAAGGGGGCUAGCGUUGCUCGGAAUCACUGGGCGUAAAGGGUGCGUAGGCGGGUCUUUAAGUCAGAGGUGAAAUCCUGGAGCUCAACUCCAGAACUGCCUUUGAUACUGAGGGUCUUGAGUAUGACAGAGGUGAGUGGAACUGCGAGUGUAGAGGUGAAAUUCGUAGAUAUUCGCAAGAACACCAGUGGCGAAGGCGGCUCACUGGGUCAUUACUGACGCUGAGGCACGAAAGCGUGGGGAUCAAACAGG
rnacentral:rRNA from 1 species